AAUAUGCCACAUACACAUUUGUGCAAGUUAAAAUGACUGGUCUCAUUUUCUAGAACUGAUCGGGGAGGAGAAAAUGCAGCAGCUGAUUACAUGUUAAAUGUACGGGGUGUAAAUAGAUUCAGUUUUUACGCUGGCUCUUCAUGCGGAAUCAAAGAAUUUGACGUCAGUGGAGAGACACGAAUCAACGUGGUGUCCGACCGUUACUGAACACGUUUAAAGACAUGGAGAAUGCGGAUGUUAUCCCAAGUGACUCCGAACUAGAUCUGUUGAUUUUACAUCAGUUGGCAACUAAUCUAUUCCAGAGGACUCUAGAAACAUACGUAGACUCUUGGAACAACCAUCCUGUACGGACGGAAGGAAAAAAAACUCCAAAUCAGCUUUAUGUUUCCGGCUUGGUACCACUUAAGCAACGUCAAGAAGAAGGACAAUUUCUCCGACCACGGGUUGAACUUCUCCAGGAUGAUGUUCUCCAUCUUCCGGAUAAUUUCAAUGACAUCUAGUAUUUGGAAUCGAUCGUCGGGCAAUUCCGGCAAGCACGAGAAGUCCCCAAAUUCACUAAUCCCUUGAACGCUGAAGAAUUCGUCGAACUUCAUCAAAUUGUUAAUCCACAAUCAGUUGAAUUAGACAAUUUAAGUGAGAAAUUUACCCUUGCCAAAAGAUUUGCAAUUUUCGCAUUAAGUAACAGGGAUGAGAUUGCAUUGUAAAAUAAACGUCAUUACUGCUACUCUUCUGAAAUGAGCUGUAAAGACAUGAUGAGCUAAAGAGUAGUAGCGGUCGCCUUUAACUUGCAGCAAGUCAGUAACAUGUGUUGCUGUUUCAUAAACGAUUUCCCUAAUCCAUUUAGCCUUUCAGCUUUUCCCUGAAAACAAUCGGCGUA